GAUUCCCUGCCCGGCGCGUGAUGGGUCGUACAAGUGAGCCAACAUUUCGACAGAGGGACCCCGGAGUUCCCGGUACAAGCCACAGCCCUUCGGGGAUGAGCGAAGAUCGGGACAGGGGACCCACCUGGAGCAACACGGUUCAGUUGCUCCGGCUCACACGACCGGGCGGGGUAACU
rnacentral:other from 1 species